rnacentral:rRNA from 1 species
UCCCGACGGGGCGCAGCAGUGAGGAAUAUUGGUCAAUGGGCGAGAGCCUGAACCAGCCAAGUCGCGUGAAGGAUGACGGCCCUACGGAUUGUAAACUUCUUUUGUCAGGGAGCAAUUGAGUCCACGUGUGGGCUUAGCGAGAGUACCUGAAGAAAAAGCAUCGGCUAACUCCGUGCCAGCAGCCGCGGUAAUACGGAGGAUGCGAGCGUUAUCCGGAUUUAUUGGGUUUAAAGGGUGCGUAGGCGGAAUAUCAAGUCAGCGGUAAAAAUUCGGGGCUCAACCCCGGCGUGCCGUU